UACGUAGGUGGCGAGCGUUGUCCGGAUUUACUGGGCGUAAAGGGAGCGUAGGCGGACUUUUAAGUGAGUUGUGAAAUACUCGGGCUCAACUUGAGUGCUGCAUUUCAAACUGGAAGUCUAGAGUGCAGGAGAGGAGAAUGGAAUUCCUAGUGUAGCGGUGAAAUGCGUAGAGAUUAGGAAGAACACCAGUGGCGAAGGCGAUUCUCUGGACUGUGACUGACGCUGAGGCUCGAAAGCGUGGGGAGCAAACAGG
rnacentral:rRNA from 1 species